rnacentral:rRNA from 1 species
GUACGUGAAACCGUUUAGGGGUAAACCUGAGAAACCCGAAAGAUCGAAUGAGGAGAUUCAUCGUACACGUGAAUUAGCUUACGUGCAUUACAUGAUGGGUCGGAUUUCGGUUCGAUUCCACGUUAUUGCGUGUAUGAGACUGAUUACGUUGGCGUGCACUUCUUCUCUAGUAGAACGUCGUGACCCGCUUGAUUUCGGUUUAAGGUACAAGGAUUGUUGACUGUGUACCAUAACAUUUCGGUGUAUGUGUAUCACAGACCCCUUGUUAUCCUGACCGAAUGUCAAACGGUAAACACAAGGUAUCGAGCCGCACUUGAAUGCGUUCAGACACGUUGCAAGCUUUGAUUAACUCCUGGAUGUUCGGACUUUGUGCCGUCCCUAGGAUUCAUCAGCUGCUGGUUGACGAUGUUCUCGGACUGGCUCAAAUUGCUAUACAGCGAUACCG